AUUGAACGCUGGCGGCAUGCUUUACACAUGCAAGUCGAACGGUAACAGGCCGCAAGGUGCUGACGAGUGGCGAACGGGUGAGUAAUGCAUCGGAACGUGCCCAGUCGUGGGGGAUAACGCAGCGAAAGCUGUGCUAAUACCGCAUACGAUCUAUGGAUGAAAGCGGGGGACCGUAAGGCCUCGCGCGAUUGGAGCGGCCGAUGUCAGAUUAGGUAGUUGGUGGGGUAAAGGCUCACCAAGCCAACGAUCUGUAGCUGGUCUGAGAGGACGACCAGCCACACGGGGACUGAGACACGGCCCAGACUCCUACGGGAGGCAGCAGUGGGGAAGGUUGGACAAUGGGCGCAAGCCUGAUCCAGCAAGGCCGCGUGCAGGAAGAAGGCCUUCGGGUUGUAAACUGCUUUUGUACGGAACGAAAAGGUUUGGGUUAAUACCCUGGGCCGAUGACGGUACCGUAAGAAUAAGCACCGGCUAACUACGUGCCAGCAGCCGCGGUAAUAC
rnacentral:rRNA from 1 species